rnacentral:lncRNA from 1 species
GGGCUUGGCCGUGUCUAGAGGCAAGAGGCCUUGGUGAGCUUACUUGGUUGCUCUGGUUUGAAGAACAGAGGGAUGUUAGCCUUCCAUGGGGAGGCUUCACAGGCUGAGUUCCUCAGAGGCCAGUGGUGGAAACACUGGAGGAUGUAAGGAUGAAGCGGAGGAAGCUCAGAGAGCAAAGAGGUAAGACCAGAGCAAGGUCCAGGAACUGCGACACCUCAUUCGGAGCAGAAGAGAGGAGAAUAGAUCCCGACAUGCAUCUGCUUAGUGCAGAACUGCCAACGUCCAUGUCUCUCAGUGAAGGUGGUGGUUUCAUCACCAGCAGCAGCAGCUAGUCUUUGCUCCUCCAAAUGGCUCAUGCCAGCCCUGCCUCUGUCCACACAUACCGUAUCUUAGCUCAAUGUAUUCUGUGUUAGUGCUGUUUUCCUAUGCUUUUGUUUGCCUGUAGACUCUACUCUUUGUACUUGUACUAUUCAUCUUCCUUGACCUCCUUUUCUCCUUUGAACCCCACUUUCCUAAGAUCUGUGCUAUCAACACAGACCUUCAGAAGUAGAGAGGAUGGAAAUAGAACACGUACUUUGAUAAACAGAAGCAAUUAGACUUCCUUGGACGAUGCCACAUUCCUUUAAUGCACAUUCGGCUUAAUGCACAAUGGGAAAAUCAGAGCCUAUUGAGCAAUGGUGUUGCCUCUGGUUUAUUGCAGUUCAUUAAUAAACAUUGCAGCUGGA